UACGUAGGGUGCAAGCGUUAAUCGGAAUUACUGGGCGUAAAGGGCGCGUAGGCGGCCAACUAAGUCAGACGUGAAAUCCCCAGGCUCAACCUGGGAACUGCGUCUGAUACUGGAUGGCUUGAGUUCGGGAGAGGUGAGUGGAACUGCGAGUGUAGAGGUGAAAUUCGUAGAUAUUCGCAAGAACACCAGUGGCGAAGGCGGCUCACUGGCCCGGUACUGACGCUGAGGUGCGAAAGCGUGGGGAGCAAACAGG
rnacentral:rRNA from 1 species